GGCGGGCCCGCCGGUCUGCCGAUGGGUACGCACUGGCGGGCGCGUCCUUCCUCCCGGAGACGGCCGCUACUCUUAACUGAGCGGUGGUCGGAGACGGGAUGUUUACUUUGAAAAAAUCAGAGUGUUUCAAGCAGGCAGUCGCUCUUGCAUGGAUUAGCAUGGGAUAAUGAAAUAGGACUCUGGUGCUAUUUUGUUGGUUUCGAGCACCGGAGUAAUGAUUAACAGGGACAGUCAGGGGCACUCGUAUUCCGCCGAGAGAGGUGAAAUUCUCAGACCAGCGGAAGACGAACGACUGCGAAAGCAUUUGCCAGGGAUGUUUUCACUGAUCAAGAACGAAAGUUAGGGGAUCGAAGACGAUCAGAUACCGUCGUAGUCUUAACCAUAAACCAUGCCGACUAGGGAUUGGAGGAUGUUCCGUUUGUGACUCCUUCAGCACCUUUCGGGAAACUAAAGUCUUUGGGUUCCGGGGGGAGUAUGGUCGCAAGGCUGAAACUUAAAGGAAUUGACGGAAGGGCACCACCAGGAGUGGAGCCUGCGGCUUAAUUUGACUCAACACGGGGAAACUUACCAGGUCCAGACAUUGUGAGGAUUGACAGAUUGAGAGCUCUUUCUUGAUUCGAUGGGUGGUGGUGCAUGGCCGUUCUUAGUUGGUGGAGUGAUUUGUCUGGUUAAUUCCGUUAACGAACGAGACCGCAGCCUG
rnacentral:rRNA from 1 species